rnacentral:antisense_RNA from 1 species
UUUUAUGGCGGUUGCGCGCGGGAGACUUUCGGGUCUGCCGAGUUUUGGAUUGGUUCCUCGGUCUGCGAACCCUCGCGCAACUGCCACCCAU